UGCACAAGUGAAAAUGCUGCUUGACGGCGUUUACAAAUGUGACGAUUGCAUUACAAAACUAUUCUACGGAGGUGUUGGGUGCAUAACCUACAGAUCCGGACUGAUAGCUACCGCGUCUAUCAUCUUCGAAACAGAUGCAAUCAACCCAAAUAUUGUCCGUGCACUCUUUGAGCAAAAUAUUGCAACAGCCCUACUCCAAACGAAACUCAUUGUGAACAAGGAAUACACAAGCAACUCGCUGCCGAUCUUAUUGGAUAAAGAUUUUUGCUAGAGAACAACUCCUGAGCCAACUACAACUCCUGAGCCAACUUCAACUAAAUUUUGACAGUUUUGAUUUAGUUAUAAUCAUAGUCACAGGAAAAGUCAGCCUCCAAUCAACUGUAUCAAUCAUUAAAACAAAGUCCUCAUCUUCAAUCAUUUUGUCUGGUUAUCCU